rnacentral:lncRNA from 1 species
CUGCAUUAAGACUGUGGUAGCCACAGUAGCUCAGUUAGCCCAAGGAUAAGCUCACGCAGUGAAGGUGGUAGGGCAAAAAGGUGCUAAGAACUUGAACGUUGUUGAUGUCACUGAGCUUGGAAUUAUCCAGCCUUGGGAUUUCCUUGCCCAAGGAAUUUUGUUAUGGAAGAUAACAUGUUUCUUAAUUGUUCAUACCAGCUAAGAGGUAUAGUUUUCCAUUACUUGUAACUCAAAGCAUCCAAAUCAAUUCAACUACCAUAUUAAACUUUUGCUAUUAGGGGAAAGAAACUGUGCCAUGGGGUCUUUGACUACUGAAGGGCAGCCACAGAUGUAUGGUUUUGUCCCUGAGAGUUGGGAGUGGGUGGUGGCAGCCCAGAAUGACAGUGAAAUUUGGUUUCUCACACCAAACUAGAAAAUGCCAUUCUGUGAACUGGGUCAUGAGCUGCUGGAGAAGCAGAGUUCUCCUAGCCUUUUAAACUGAGGAGCUCCCAUAACAACUAAACAAGCAGGAAUCCAGAGGGGGAGACAAGAAUACUCCCUACUCAGAUUAAGAUGCAUGAAGGUAAUAAAAACCACCCCAAAGGAACUGUGAAAAGAGGCCUUGGGAAGCACAUCCAAGAGAGUGAAAAGGGGGAGAACAGAAGGAACCGUGGAAAGAAAAUCUUCCAGACCAAAUGAUGGUCCAAAAAUAAUGAGACCAAAGUUCAAAGAAGUAAUUUAAACCAAAUACUGCAGGGAAGGCAAAGCCAGAGAGGGACGGGCUCACUCUGCAGGGAGCGAGGAGCAGCAGGGAUGGAGCUGAGCAGAGUUCAGUUUAGGACAGCCCAUGGGUCAGAACUGAGAAAGGUGCUCGGCUGAUGGCCUGGAGCUCCCACUGCCCAGAGCCAUGGAGCAUCAACACUUGGCUUUGGAAAUGCUGCUUAAUCCUGAAUAAACAAAGGGAAAAUAUGCAAGGUAGUGUUCAAGAUCUCUUACUUAUAAACCCAGAUGCAAUGCUUGUGUUCAACCCUAGGAUUUAGGGUUGGUUCAGUGCUUCCACAAAUUUCUCUUUAUUAGUAGGGGAAGAGUUGUGGAGCUAAUAGACACAUCCUCAUUGUUCUCUGGCUCCUGCCAAGCCCCCACAUUGAGUCUUAAAAGACAGAAGUGUUUUUGUUUGUGUGUAUGGAGGAGAGGAAGACUUCCCUUAAUUUUGGUCAGCAAGGUUUGUCUUGGAUCUGGGAAAGGGUGGAGGAGGUCCCAACUGAAGUGACUUCAUGGAGGAUUGGGAGGACUUUUUCUUUCUCCCCACAAACCACUCUUUAAGUUAUUUCCACCUGUGGAAUUCCUCUAAGAUAAAAUAUUGGGAAAUGUACCACGUUAGGAGUCAUGAUUCCUAGUUUUCAAGCCUGGUGGUUCUCCUAUAACUUAAAACCUCUUCCAUAUAUUCGUUUGUCUAGGAAACAAAAUAGUCAUUGAGCUACUAUAUAUGCCUAGUACCAUUCUAGGUGCUAAGUAUUCAGUGUAGGAUAAUGCAAAUUUUCUGUUUCUAUAGGGUCAGCAUUGCAGUAGGGAUGUUGAUAAUUGCCAAAUAAACAUAUAAUGUAAUAAUAUCA